rnacentral:rRNA from 1 species
AUUUGGGUGUUAAGUAGCCUAGAGCUGUUUGUGUGGUGUUUUUCUCAAUGUAGCUUAUCUAGAGCUUCUUCUAGCUCCUCUUGUACCAUAACUCUAAGAUUCUCUCUCGUCUUCAGUAGAUCGAUUAUUGAUACCUGGGCUUCCAGACACCAUUUGAUGAGUGUUGAGUAGCCUCUCCGAUACCACAACUACAUCUUCGGGAGGCACCAACUAAGGGGGAGGCUGCCUCACGGCUGCUUCCGAGGUUCUACCCUAGAGCGCCUAUGUCUUCCAAUACCACCACCUUUAUUAAAAAGCACCAGCGGAGACUACAAGAGCCCCAUGCACCCAUAUAUAUCCUCCUUCUUCAUCCAGCCACCUGAGGGCUCCCCGGGUGCUCUAUCCCCCGCGCGGGGUAUCCUCCCGCGGGAGGUGGGAGCACCGGAUGAGCUAACAAAGAACUGAACGUGAGGUUAAGGAGGCCUAGUGCAAACAAGGUUUUUCUAGCGAGGGCUUCCAAAGUAAGGCAAACCUGAGGCAAACUAUAAGGAAAAAAAGCUUUGUGACUUUAUCCGUUUUUUUGUCGUUAUGCUCGACCCGGAGGCCAAUCAUCCAAUCAGGGUUUUUACUAUAUUUUCACAUUUCAUUUCGGGUAUUUGUAGGUUUUGUCCAUUAUAUUAUCGUACCUUGUUAGUUUUUAAUAUCUAUGCAACCUCUGCAUAGUUACACAUUUGACUUAGUUAUCCCUGAAGAUGGACACAAGAGGACACUUAGAGUGUUUGUGUAAUCAGGAAGUUGGUUCAAACAACAGAUAUGAGGUUUUGGUUGAUCCCCACCGUGAUCUACGUGAAUGUACCUCGAAACACUAGGUUCUGCUUGUACCGCUACAACACCCUAGUUCUCACCUAUCUUACCUAGUACAAGUCCUAUGGAACGUUCGCCUCCGCCUCCGUACAUAGAGAUGAGGAUUACCUCUUCAACCAUCAGAGGCGGCCAGUUAAAAGCAGGGUGGUCUCUGCCAAUUAAAAGCAGGAGUUAGGGUGGAGGGCGUUUGGUCGGUAAGGGGGGAAGGUGGGAGCUCUGGCUGUUUUUUUGCCAUACGAUGGUGCUCCGGGCAACACUUUGUGAUGCCAAGUAGCUAUCUUUUAACAGGAUUUUUUAGAUGAUGCCAAUUGGAUGGUUUUAAUCGGCCUGCGAACGUGGAUGCUCGCUAAGGAUCACGGGGAGCUAGGGGAGCUCUGUGUCCCGAGGAGAGGGCUCGCUCCAGGGCUAGGCGAGGAGGGGAGAGGACUCCUAUGCGUUGGCGGCGGAAGCAGCUUAAGCGGCAACAGCUAGACUGCUAGGCCCGUCGUGUCGGCGGCGAUGGCGGCAGCUAGACGGAUAGGUCCGUCUGCGUCGGCAGUACCUAGUGCUCUUGCGGCCGCGGCGGCCGCGGAGCUUAUGCAGCGGGGCGAGCCGUACCUACCGGUGGGGUUCUGUACCUAUUCGAGAGCACUAGGGGUGGGGUGGGGAGAGUAGGGGACUUAGGUAUAGGAGGAAGGGCAGAACUAGGGCGGGUACUAGACUAGUCCUUCGACGGGUGCUAGACUAGGGGACCAAAGAAUAGGCCAAUAGGAGGAGAGAAGAGAGCGUGCCCGCAAGAUCGUUGGGGGUAGAAGCCACACCGUUGCAACGACUGUAGCAGCGCCGGAGGGCGUUAAGGUCCGAACCGGAAGGAGUUGAGGUACACGCCGACUGCUCCACCAGAAGAGGUCUCCAAUGUGUGGACUACUACAAAUGCCGCUCCGCGUCCUUAUUCGUCUCCGGCUCCUUCACACCCGUGCGCGCUCCUUCCAAGUCGCCCGACGUCUUCAGCCCGGUGCGGGCCUCGCGGCGCGGUUGCGUACACACGCACCAGCCACCCAACCGGUUCUAGACGUAAGACGCUGAAGCAGAAGUGGUACCUGUGUUCGUUCCUGACUAAGCACCCAGAACCAUCACCACGGCUCGUAGCCGUCUAGCUUCACCAGCUUCAGCGCCAAUUAGCUGGUCCUGCUCUGUACGUAGAACCUCGAUCGCGCCUCCCCCUUUCUUCGUCCAACCAGACCGGGCUGGAGUGUUUACUUAACUUCCGAUGGUUUUUCCAGUGUUGCUAAGACACGGUACCUAGUAAACCAGAACACAUGUUCCGAUAUUGCCGAUGACCACUUCAGUACCGCCUUUUCCAAGAACGCUGCGGCGACGAUGAACCACGGGCUGCGUGGGUUCCGUAGCCAACGGCAGGGACAAGAGGGCCACCGGGAGAGCAGUACGUAAGUUAACCAGCUCAUCAAGCAGUGUCGGCGACUCCUUGCCCUGGUAUCGUUUGGUAACGUUACGCCGUUGGGUUUAAAGUUAAGGUGCCACAAGACACGCGUAGUCUCCUCUUUUAUUACCUACCUCCUUCUUCUCACUAAAAUACCAUGUUUUUACAACCGUUACAAAGUAAUUUGAUACAAUAGACUACACGAACUAAGAAGGUAUCCAUGUACAAACUGUAUGAAUUACAAUUAUAACUUGGUGGUCUUAUAUAAUGAUGUACUACCUUACUCUACUCUAGAGUUGCAGGUCUGACGCCAACUAGGUAAUACGUGGUACUUUUUAUAUUAUUGAGACUCCUGGAACAUACAUAUAGACUAGAGUUAACGUGUACACUUUUCCUACACACUUGACAUGGAUUGGAGAACAUCCUAAACACCCUCUAACGGUCGCUCGGAGUACCACUUCAAGAAGACGUUACUACGGCUCCUAAACUAGAACCGACCGUACCUGGUUAACCACCGCUACAGUGGACCACCGUUGUCCCACAUGAGGACCUACCCCCACAACAGGCCACCGUCGUCCCACGCCGUUGUAUGUUCUUUUCCUUUUCACCCUCCCACCUUAUAUGGCUUUACCCUCAUAGGUACCACGUCCUGUCCUCCUGCUUGCCUUACCCUUGGAACUUCUAUUAUUAACCACCUUCUCGUCGUUUACGAUAGACAAUAAACGGUUACCGACCGCACCUGGCCGACCACAUGAGGACCUACCGCUACAGCGGACCACCGUUGUUCCACAUGAGAACCUUCCCCCACGGUAGGUCACCGUCACCCCACGCGUUGCAUGUGAUUUUCCUUUUCACCCUCUCACCUUUUAUGGCUUUACCCUCAUAGGUUUCUUCUACUCCAUGAUCCUUCGUACAAUGUAUCCCUCCACCCUGACCUCUUGCUUGCCUUACCCUUGGAACUGCAAAUAUUAACCGGUUUCUCGUUGGUCACGAUUGUCAAUAAACGAACGUUCUUGUUCAACACAAUAUCUUGACAACGGUACCACGAGUACAGUUCACAUCGUCAACUAAUUUUUCAAAUGGGAGACUUAGAAAUAAACAACAACAUACCUCAUAUUGGUAUUUAAACACACGAGAUGUCACCACCUCAUUUACUCGGUCCUAAUUCAAGUUUUCCAACAGAAUCGGG